rnacentral:rRNA from 1 species
CCAGACUCCUACGGGAGGCAGCAGUGAGGAAUAUUGGUCAAUGGGCGGGAGCCUGAACCAGCCAAGUCGCGUGAGGGACGACGGUCCUAUGGAUUGUAAACCUCUUUUGUCGGGGAACAAAGGCGCCCACGGGUGGGCGGAUGAGUGUACCCGAAGAAAAAGCAUCGGCUAACUCCGUGCCAGCAGCCGCGGUAAUACGGAGGAUGCGAGCGUUAUCCGGAUUUAUUGGGUUUAAAGGGUGCGCAGGCGGAAGAUCAAGUCAGCGUUAAAAUUGAGAGGCUCAACCUCUUCGAGCCGUUGAAACUGGUUUUCUUGAGUGAGCGAGAAGUAUGCGGAAUGCGUGGUGUAGCGGUGAAAUGCAUAGAUAUCACGCAGAACUCCGAUUGCGAAGGCAGCGUACCGGCGCCCAACUGACGCUGAAGCACGAAGGCGUGGGUAUCGAACAGGAUUAGAUACCCGGGUA